AACGAACGCUGGCGGCAUGCCUAACACAUGCAAGUCGAACGAGACCUUCGGGUCUAGUGGCGCACGGGUGCGUAACGCGUGGGAACCUGCCCUUAGGUUCGGAAUAACUCCCCGAAAGGGGUGCUAAUACCGGAUAAUGUCUUCGGACCAAAGAUUUAUCGCCUUUGGAUGGGCCCGCGUUGGAUUAGCUAGUUGGUAGGGUAAAAGCCUACCAAGGCGACGAUCCAUAGCUGGUCUGAGAGGAUGAUCAGCCACACUGGGACUGAGACACGGCCCAGACUCCUACGGGAGGAAGCAGUGGGGAAUAUUGGACAAUGGGCGAAAGCCUGAUCCAGCAAUGCCGCGGGAGUGAUGAAGGCCUUAGGGUUGUAAAGCUCUUUUACCCGGGAUGAUAAUGACAGUACCGGGAGAAUAAGCGCCGGCUAACUCCGUG
rnacentral:rRNA from 1 species